UACGUAGGGUGCGAGCGUUAAUCGGAAUUACGUGGGCGUAAAGCGUGCGCAGGCGGUUUUGUAAGCCAGGUGUGAAAUCCCCGGGCUCAACCUGGGAAUGGCAUUUGGGACUGCAAGGCUGGAGUGCGGCAGAGGAGACUGGAAUUCCUGGUGUAGCAGUGAAAUGCGUAGAUAUCAGGAGGAACACCGAUGGCGAAGGCAGGUCUCUGGGCUGACACUGACGCUCAUGCACGAAAGCGUGGGGAGC
rnacentral:rRNA from 1 species